rnacentral:misc_RNA from 1 species
GAUGAAGAACGUAGCGAAAUGCGAUAAGUAAUGUGAAUUGCAGAAUUCAGUGAAUCAUCGAAUCUUUGAACGCACCUUGCACCCUUUGGACUGCUCCAAAGGGUAUGCUCGUUUGAGUGUCAUUGUACUCUCACACUCUCUGAUCCUUUGGAUUUGGGGAGCAGUGGACUUGGGUGCUUGCUGCUUCCUUGUGGCUCACCUGAAAUGCAUCAGUGCAUCUCUCGAUUGGACAUAGUACGGCGUGAUAAGUGUCUUCGCCGGCACCUCAUAUGAGGGUGGCCGAUCGGGAGCUCUGUGCUUUCAAACCGUCUUCGGACAACGCUGACAACUUGACCUCAAAUCGAGUAGGACUACCCGCUGAACUUAAGCAUCUCAAUAAGCGGAGGA